UAACUCCAGUCGAUGCUGCUGGAGGACACUGCUAUCAGAUUUCGACAGCCAUGCAAGUCUGCUCAACGGCUUCGUUGGGCGGCGUACGGCUCAGUAACACGUGGUCAAUCUACCGUAAAGAGGCGAAUAACCUCGGGAAAAAUAUAGCGGCGAUUAAACUCUUUAAUACCUUAAUAUCCAUAAACUAAAGGUGGUUUAAAUGGACACCAGAUAUCUAGCAGGAUUUUUUGAUGGUGAAGGCUCCUUCAUAGCCAGAAUUAAGCCAGAUGCCCGAUACAGACUAAGUUCACAGAUAGAACUUAGUAUAAGCAUAACACAGAAAGACAGGGAAGUACUGGAAUUAAUAAAAAAUUUCUACGAUAUGGGGCAUGUCUACCUAGAUAAUAAAAGACAUAUCUACGAAUUAAGAAUCGGGAAAUUUAGAGAUAUACAACGAUUUCUAUUCCUGAUAAAAGAUUACAUAAUAGUAAAAAGGAGAGAUAUGGAUCUAUUCUUAAAAUGUUUAGAUAUGGUGUCAAAUAAAAAACAUCUGCAGAAUGACGGAUUUAAUGAGAUUAAGGAGGUAAUAUCGCUUCUACAUUCUCGAAACGGAGGCUAAUGCGCCAUAGGCUAGGACAUCUGGAAGGAGUCCCAGCCAAAAAGGUUGCAAAUUGCAGCAUUACCGCUUUACGAUGAGACUGCGGCGGAUCAGGCAGUUGGCGGGGUAACGGCCCACCAAACCGAUAACCUGUAGGGGAUGUGAGAGCAUGAGCCCCGAGAAGGGCACUGAGACAAGGGCCCUAGCGCUACGGCGUGCAGCAGGCGCGCAAACUCCACAAUGCGCGAAAGCGUGAUGGGGGGAAUCUGAGCGAUCCACUUCGGUGGAUCUUUUGCCAAGUUUAGUCAGCUUGGCGAAUAAGUGCUGGGCAAGACCGGUGGCAGCCGCCACGGUAAUACCGGCAGCACAAGUGGUGUCCACGAUUAUUGGGCUUAAAGCGCUCGUAGCUGGCCGAUACCGUCUCGUGUGAAAUAUUGAUGCUCAACAUCAAUGCGUGCACGAGAUACCUAUUGGCUAGGGAGCGGGUGAGGUCAGGAGUACUUACGGGGGAGGGGUAAAAUCCUAUAAUCCUGUAAGGACUAACGGUGGCGAAGGCGCCUGACUAGAACGCAUCCGACAGUGAGGGGCGAAGGCUAGGAGAACGAAUCGGAUUAGAUACCCGAGUAGCCCUAGCAGUAAAUCAUGCAGACUCUGAUGUUGCAGAUAUCUAGAAUAUCUGCAGUACCGUAGCGUAAGUGUUAAGUCUGCCGCCUGGGGAGUACGGUCGCAAGAUUGAAACUUAAAGCAAUUGGCGGGGGAGCACCACAAGGGGUGGAUGCUGCGGUUUAAUUGAAUUCAACGUCGGAAAUAUUACCAGGAGCGACGGCAGGAUGAAGGUCAGACUAAAGAUCUUACCCGACGAGCCGAGAGGUAGUGCAUGGCGAUCGUCAGCUCGUGGUGUGAACUGUCCGGUUAAGUCCGGUAACGAGCGAGACCUUCGCUAACAGUUGCCACCUGCUUAGAGAUAAGUGGGGCACUCUGUUAGGACCGCCUCUGUUUAAAGAGGAGGAAGGAGAGGGCAACGGUACGUCAGUAUGCUCUGAAUCUCCUGGGCAACACGCGGCAUACAAAGGUUGGCACAAUGAGACGCAACACCGAAAGGUGAAGCAAAUCCCCUAAAACCAACCCGAGUUCGGAUUGAGGGUUGAAACUCACCCUCAUGAAGCUGGAAUCCCUAGUAAUCGCUUGUCACUAUCGAGCGGUGAAUAUGUCCCAGCUCCUUGCACACACCGCCUGCCAAGUCACCCAAGUGGGGUCCUAGUGAGGCAGUGCCAUUAGGCAUUUUCGAGUUAGGGUUCCGUGAGGAGGGCUAAGGCAUAACAAGGUAUCCGUAGGGGAACCUGCGGAUAGAUCACCUC
rnacentral:rRNA from 1 species